rnacentral:rRNA from 1 species
AUUGAACGCUGGCGGCAGGCCUAACACAUGCAAGUCGAGCGGAUGAAGGGAGCUUGCUCCUGGAUUCAGCGGCGGACGGGUGAGUAAUGCCUAGGAAUCUGCCUGGUAGUGGGGGAUAACGUCCGGAAACGGGCGCUAAUACCGCAUACGUCCUGAGGGAGAAAGUGGGGGAUCUUCGGACCUCACGCUAUCAGAUGAGCCUAGGUCGGAUUAGCUAGUUGGUGGGGUAAAGGCCUACCAAGGCGACGAUCCGUAACUGGUCUGAGAGGAUGAUCAGUCACACUGGAACUGAGACACGGUCCAGACUCCUACGGGAGGCAGCAGUGGGGAAUAUUGGACGAUGGGCGAAAGCCUGAUCCAGCCAUGCCGCGUGUGUGAAGAAGGUCUUCGGAUUGUAUAGCACUUUAAGUUGGGAGGAAGGGCAGUAAGUUAAUACCUUGCUGUUUUGACGUUACCAACAGAAUAAGCACCGGCUAACUUCGU